AUUGAACGCUGGCGGCAUGCUUUACACAUGCAAGUCGAACGGUAACAGGCCGCAAGGUGCUGACGAGUGGCGAACGGGUGAGUAAUGCAUCGGAACGUGCCCAGUCGUGGGGGAUAACGCAGCGAAAGCUGCGCUAAUACCGCAUACGAUCUAUGGAUGAAAGCGGGGGACCGCAAGGCCUCGCGCGAUUGGAGCGGCCGAUGUCAGAUUAGGUAGUUGGGGGGGUAAAGGCUCACCAAGCCAACGAUCUGUAGCUGGUCUGAGAGGACGACCAGCCACACUGUGACUGAGACACGGCCCAGACUCCUACGGGAGGCAGCAGUGGGGAAUUUUGGACAAUGGGCGCAAGCCUGAUUCAGCAAUGCCGCGUGCAGGAAGAAGGCCUUCGGGUUGUAAACUGCUUUUGUACGGAACGAAACGGUCUGGGUUAAUACCCUGGGCUAAUGACGGUACCGUAAGAAUAAGCACCGGCUAACUACGUGCCAGCCGCCGCAGUAAAAC
rnacentral:rRNA from 1 species